GUGCGCAGUCUGGGGCAUCAGGAUGGCAUGAUGAAGCAAUAUGCAGACUGGCAUUAGCUAUGCCCUGUGGGUCGGUCUGUCUCCCACCUACCCCUGCCCUCCUUCUGAGGCUGGCCUGGGCUGGGAGGAGGAGAGCCCCGGACAGCCUGGGAGGAGGGUACAGUGCCUUCCUGGUACAGACAUUGGAGGGAGUGUCUUGCCCAUCUUCCCUGCAGCCCAGUACAAAGGACCCAGGCAAUGAGUUCUGGGGAGCAGCCUGGAAAGCCAGAGCUGGAGGAAGGCAGAGGAGGGAGCCUGCCUGAGUAGAGACCGUAGAGGGACCCAGCCGGACCCAUGUCAAGUGCACCCAGAGACAGCUGCAGACAGACAGACACACAGACGGACAGACACCUGCAGGGAGACAGUGCUUUCUGGGAACUGGAAUUACAGGCAUGGCUGCAGAUGCUGACCCCGCUGGGCGCUCUGCAGGGCACAGACUGGACAGAGGCCAGGAUGACAGGGAAGGGGAUAAACUGGGCGAUUGCUGCCAUGGUCCAGGGAGAAAGGCCUCAAGGACACCACCUCUGCCAUGCGCAUCCUUCUCUGGUAACACAGGGAUCCGAGCUCAGGUUUGCGGCCGAGGGAGAGGCCCUGUUGCCCCGUCUGGCUGCUGCCUGCCUCCGCCUUGGCCCUCUCCUCAAUGGAAGCCUGCUGUAUGCUUCCACGAAGCGCUUAUUUCUGCCUCCAAUCAGGAUAGCUACAAGGACUUGUCACUGUCCCCAGCUACGUGCCCCUCGGCAUCCCAGGAGGAAGGGUGCCUAGUGGGCAGUGGAGCACCGAGAGCCAUCUCCCUCCUGGGUUCUGCACCCUACCUGCUCAGCCCCUCUGGUGGGGCCCUGCUGUCCUUCCGGGUCCUGUCACCUCUCCCUGGCCUUCUGCUCAUCCAGCCCACUGGGCCUCAGAAAGCCCGGGCGACCACAUCAAGGCCGCUAAGCCUCAGUAA
rnacentral:lncRNA from 1 species